rnacentral:lncRNA from 1 species
UGGCACUUCCCCUUCCUCUGCCCUGUAUCUUCUCGGUUGAUCAUGGCCUGAAUUUCCAUUUCCUCAUGUAUGUGAGACGACCUAUGAAGCCUCCCCACCUGACUCACCCUGGAUCCUGGUAGAUGCAGCAGAGUAAGAAAAUAAAUGAGCCAGAAUCCAAAGGGUACUGGCUGAUUUGGCAGGAGGCCUCUUUAUUGAACUUAAACAUGGGGCGUGAACAUCCUAGUCCUAAAUCACUGCAGCCACUUUAGUCUCUGUGGUUCCUAUGGGAACCAGAAACAUCAGCCAGCUUCUCUGCACUAGGAACAUGAUUCAUUAGUCAUGCCUCAUCAGCAGCGCCCAGGUUCAGUCAGUGCCUGUGCUAGACUGGACUUGCUUUCCAGAUACCUCAAGGGCCUGAGUGACUCCAGGACAGAGCGUAGAAAGGGUGUUUGGGUCAUGGAUAGACCAGAAGUCAUGCAGUCACUGCCUCAAUCUCUAGGAAUUACUGGUGCACUGGUUUGCUCUGUCUUUUUGAGGAAAAUUAAGGUGAUUCCCUGCCCCUGUCCCCCAUCAAAAUUUAUCCCUGGAAGCCUGAUGAACCAGUUAGGAGAAUCUGGAGUUUCUCUUCUUACAGAAGCUCCUGUUCUUUCAAGUUCCAGCCAGAUGAAUGGACCAGUUUCCUACUCCCUGUUGCCACAGCAUGCUUCCAACCAUCACUGAAGACCCAGCCCCUGCCUCUCACUCUGGCUUUUCACGUGGACUCCUGCAGAUAUUAACUGACCCAUCCAAGACCAUAGGUGUCCAGCUCAUGGCCAACCUCCCUGGCAGUGCCCUGAUCUUGUCCAUCGUCCUGUCCUGUAACUUUUCAUGACUGUAAAAAAAAAAAAAAAAAAGAUCGCACAGUCCUGCAUUGGCAGGCGGCUUCUUUACCACUGAGCCACCACGGAAGCCCCUCAUUGUGGUUACUGAUGUUAAUAGAGCAAAGCAAUGAUGUAAACUGCAAACAAAAAUUUAUAUUUGACUCUGGGAUAUUGAUUUUAAAAAGGAAAGAUACUUUGAAUCACUGUCAGUAAAGGUAAAUUUGUUUAAAUUUUCUGGAAAGGAUUUUGAAAAUAUGUAUCUGAAGCCUACAAAUGUAUAUACCCUUGGAUCUGGCAAUUCUACUUGUAGGAAUUUAUCUCAAGUAAAUAAUAAGCAUGUGGGGAUUUAGAUUCAAGAAUCUUCAAUAAAGUAUUUAUAUGAGCAACUCA